UAUAGAGAAUACCGUUUCCACGAAAACGGUCAAAUCCAAAGCGACUGUCUGAACAUCUCUUUUUGAAAAUGGGUAUAAUUCUGCUGGGUCAGUAGUUCAGUUGGUUAGAAUGCCGCUCUGAUACAGCGGAGGUCGAAGAUUCGAGUUCUUCCUGACCCACCACUUAAAUUGAUGAGGUUGGAAUCAAAAACAAAUACUUGUUUUUGAUUCCAGAUGUUCUGAUGAAUAUCUUCGGAAUCUGCUUUUAUUAGCAAUCAUUGUAAAUCGGUUUUUAAUGUCGUAAAUCAAACUUUAUGGAAACAUGACUUUUGAUUUAUUGAACAACGUAAUCUCAAAAAUCUUUCUAAAUAGAGUAAUCACGAAAGUGAUAAUUCAAUUAGAGAAGCAAGAAUCAACUUAAAUGCUUAAAAAACUCAUUAAGUUCUUUUGAUUGUGUUUGAAGACUUUCUCUUCAAGCAUAAGAUAAAAAGUAACAAAGGGUGUUUAGUGGAUGCCUUGGCAAUCAGAGGCGAUGAAGGACGUGAAAGACUGCGAUAAGUCCGGGUGAGGCGUCAAUAUCCUUUGACCCCGGAAUUUC
rnacentral:misc_RNA from 1 species